AGGCAGCACACAGCCACAUACUAGCACAGCCACAGGCAGGACACAGCCACAUACUAUUACAGCAACAGGAGGGACACAGCCAUGUACUAGUAGAGCCGCAGGUAGAACACAGCAGCCACAGGCAGAACACAGCAGCCACAGGAAAGACACAGACACAGGCAGGAAACAGCAGCCACAGGCAAGACACAGCCACAUACUAUUACAGCCACAGGCAGAACACAGCAGCCACAGGCAGGACAGAGCCACAUACUAGCACAGCCACAGGCAGGACACAGCCACAUAAUAGCACAGCCACAGGCAGGACACAGCCACAGGCAGGACACAGGCGGACACAGCCACACAAUAGUAGAGCCACAGGCAGGACACAGCAGUCACAGGCAGGGCACAGCCACAUACUAGUACAGCCACAGGCAGAACACGCCAUAUACUAGUACAGCCACAGGCAGGACACAGCCACAUACUAGUGCAGCUACAGUCAGGACACAGACACAUUUAAUGGUAGUCACAGUUUAAUCAUAAUUCCAAAAUUGUCAUGUGUUUUUUUCUCUGUGGGGUGAUGUCACUGUACGCAAAUAAAAUAACUAUCAUUAUGCUGAUUCCGAAUGGAUAUAUGAUCACCGUACUUUUCCAAAAUAAAUUAUUUUUCAAUGGGAGUCCUG
ensembl:lncRNA